GACAGAGGGUGCAAGCGUUGUUCGGAAUUACUGGGCGUAAAGCGCGUGUAGGCGGUGUCGCAUGUCGGGUGUGAAAGCCCCAGGCUCAACUUGGGAAGUGCAUCCGAAACUGUGAUGCUGGAGUGCAAGAGAGGAAGGUGGAAUUCCUGGUGUAGAGGUGAAAUUCGUAGAUAUCAGGAGGAACACCGAUGGCGAAGGCAGCCUUCUGGCUUGUUACUGACGUUGAGACGCGAAAGCGUGGGGAGCAAAC
rnacentral:rRNA from 1 species